GGCCGGUUAGCUCAGUGGUUUGAGCGCGGUGCUGACAACUAUGACAACAUUGAGACUGCGGGUUCUAUUCCCGCUCGGUCC
rnacentral:tRNA from 1 species